rnacentral:rRNA from 1 species
CCCUUAGAUGUCCGGGGCCGCACGCGCGCUACACUGAAGGAAUCAGCGUGGCUCUGUCCCUGGUCCGAAAGGAUUGGGAAACCCGUUGAAUCUCCUUCGUGAUAGGGAUUGGGGCUUGGAACUGUUCCCCAUGAACGAGGAAUGCCUAGUAAGCGCAAGUCAUCAGCUUGCGUUGAUUACGUCCCUGCCCUUUGUACACACCGCCCGUCGCUCCUACCGAUUGAAUGGUCCGGUGAAGCGUUCGGACCGUGGCCUUUGGACGGUUCGCCGUCUGUUGGCUGCGGGAAGUUCGUUAAACCUUAUCAUUUAGAGGAAGGAGAAGUCGUAACA